GACGUAGGAUGCGAGCGUUAUUCGGAUUUAUUGGGCGUAAAGCGUGCGUAGGCGGCUGUUUAAGUCUGGUGUUAAAGCUAGGGGCUCAACCCCUGUGAUGCACUGGAAACUGGGCAGCUUGAGUGCGGUAGGGGAAGGUGGAAUUCCGAGUGUAGCGGUGAAAUGCGUAGAUAUUCGGAAGAACACCGGUGGCGAAGGCGACCUUCUGGGCCGCAACUGACGCUGAGGCACGAAAGCCUGGGGAGCGAACGGG
rnacentral:rRNA from 1 species